UCGAAAAGCAACUCCAGCGAAGGUCAAAUAUUUCGCGUGGUUCUCGUAAGUCAUCUACAGCGUCGAAACGUUCAAGUGCGUCAAACAGUUCUGUUCGUUCUGCAUUGGCUAAAGAAAGAGCAAGGACAGCGGAACUUAAAGCGAGGGCGUCGAUGCUGGAUAAAAGACAAACGUUAAAGAACGAAAUGGAAAAGAUGGAACUCGAGCAAGACUUGGCAGUGGCCCAAGCCAGAGAAAAGGUGUAUGCCGACGUAACUGAUGAAAAAGUGUCGACGACUGAGA